rnacentral:lncRNA from 10 species
GCUUCUGUGUUUGUGUCUUCAAAACAGCUGCUAUCACCAAUAAUUAAACCAUAAAAAACCGAAAUUAUUUUUCCCUCUGGGGUGAUUACAACCACACGGGAGCUGUGAUGAGAGUCACAGGGGUUCCAUCUCCAAAGUGACCUUAAGAUCUGAGGUGACCACUGCAACUCCAAGCCAUCCUGAAAGCUAUUCUUGUGACCAAAUCAACAGCUCUUUCCAAGAAAAAAAGACCUUAUUGAUGUGAAGUCUUGACACUGCCUCCUGGGAGCAUCGUCCUGUAAUCAAGGGCAGAAAACUCUGUGUGUGUACAUGUGUGUAAAUGCAUGUGUGUGCCCAUAGGGCCACCAUUAGGCUAAAAGGCCCUUAUGACAUCCAUGUGGGAAUUAUUUCCUCCUCCCUCCAGGCAGAUGCAGCCCCAUGCUAACUUGUGGAACAGGUUUGGUUUCAGGCCGCACUUACUCUUUUGACCAAAGUUACAACUGUUCACAACACCUGUGUGUGUGUGUGCGGGGGGGGGGGGGGGUGUCUAUAUGCGAAGAUUUCAAAAACAUAUCAGAAAUUACUCCCAAGAGGUAUCCCUUUUUAUCUGGAGGGCAUAACAUCGUUCUAGAUUUAUACAGGGAGGUGGAUAUUUAAAGCUGCCAUUAAUCUUUCAAUAUCAUUCCUGUAGUUUCAAAUCUGACUUCAAAAUUGAUGUAGAAAAAGACUCACUGACAUCCUGACAUCUCAGGAUCCUACCUGUCACUUUACCUGGACUAAAGACCUUCGAACAUCCAUGCUGUCCAGGGGCACUCACCCCACAGGGUCAUAAAUCACAAAUAGUUGUUCUUUAUUUCAGUUUACUUCAUGAAUUAAUUAUGCAGCCAAUAGGAACCCCAUUUUUCCACCUCCCCCCGAAUUAAAACACACACACACACACACACACACACACACUCGGCUCAGUCAAACCCUGAUAGGUUCCAUCUGAACCAGAACUAUGGAAGAUGGUGGAGAUACACAGAUGAACAAGCCCUGAUCCUGGCACUCAAGUUACUUAGAGUCUCAAAAUCUAUUCAGUUAAUUGAAAAAAAGUUAAAUCUGUGCUAGAUAGCACCCAAGGAUGGCUGCUAUCAAUUCUUCCUUUCCCUAUGUGCUCCUAUCAUCAAGAAGCAGAGGCUAGUUCACCCACUCUGGGGCUGGCCUCAUGACUUUGUUUGACCAAUAAACUAUGUAUGGUAAACAUGGCACUGUGCCAAUUUCAAGUUUAGACUAGAAGCUUCCACUUUUCUGCUUUCUGGGGAAGCCAGCGGCUAUAAAGAAGCAUAGGCUAGACUUCUGAGGGGUCAGAUGCCACAUGGAGAAAGAGAGGCCACAUGGAGUAAAAUCAAGACACCUUCCAGCCCUACCAUCAGCUGAAUGCAGCUAAGUGACCUGAGGGAACAAAAGAGCCUCCCAGCCAAGAGCCCUGCUCAAAUUGCUGACUUGCAGAAUCAUGAGAAAAACGUAGUUUGGGGCUGUUGGUUAGGCAGCAAUAACAAAUUAUUGGUGAGAAAACAAAAUUAUUGGUGAGAAAAUUAACACAGUCAAAACAGCUAUUUAACCUUGUGCAGAAAAAAUACUGUUUUAAAAAGCAGACAUCUCACUGUGGUCUACUUUCCAAUUGGUUGUCUGGCCAUAUACUGACUGAGGUACUGCAUAUGAAACCCUAUAUGAAAAAUCAUGUGGACUGGAGGGAAUCCAAGAGACAGAAGUUGUGGUUCCUACAACCUGGUACUUCCUCCUCACCUAGAUGGUUUUCCAUAAGAAAAAAAAAUUAUGUCUUCCAUUUCUUUGGCACUGUCCUAUUAAAGAUCUCUGCAUAUUAUGCCGAGCGCAUAUGGGCCAUCAAUGAAUAUAAAUGGAUUGAGUUUGUAAAGUUUAACUCAAAUUUCAAUCCCCAGUUUUUUCCACCCUCUGCCUUUCGAUCUUUAGUCCUGUUACAUUGAGGCCCAAGACUUAGGGUUGAAUUGAAGUAUCUCGGUCAGCAAGAGAAAAGGAGUUUUGACUUAAGAACUCAAGGCCUAGGAGAAUGGGGUCACAUGGUCACUUCACAUGUUCUCUUUAGCACACCAUUCCUGCAUGGAAUUCCAUCUCUGAAGCCCUUUGGUGGGGGGCUAUCUUGUAUGUGACAGUUUAAAGUAAAAGUGUCUGGAAUGGAGUUUC